rnacentral:sRNA from 1 species
UGGCCUUCCUUGCAAAAAUGAGGUGUGGUGCAAUCCCACUCAUUCGAGCCACUUAUGAGAUGGCACCACAGAGAGCAGUACCGCGAGUUCCAGUGUGUUUUGGAGUAGCUGCAACGACGCCGUAUGGCGCUAACUGGCCAGGUCAUAAACGGGAAGCUUCUUCGAUAUCAACAAAGCAAUCUAUAAACCUCAGUUCGUCGAUCGCCUCCAAACUCUCGCUUGAUGGAAAAGUCACGGUAAUCACAGGAGGCAGUAGGGGAAUUGGAUUGGCCCUUGUUGAAGCAAUGGCUGGUCUCGGAAGUGAUGUCGCCAUUCUCGACAUUAUGGAGCCUCAGGUGGAUAUAGAAAAGCUGCAGAGCCAGUACAGCACUCACAUAAAACACUUCAAAACCGAUGUAACGCAAAAGGGG